rnacentral:tRNA from 1 species
GGUACUGUGGCUUAGCUGGGUAAAGUGCCUGUCUAGUAAACAGGAGAUCCUGGGUUCAAAUCCCAGCAGUACCU